AUUGAACGCUGGCGGCAGGCCUAACACAUGCAAGUCGAGCGGAUGAAGGGAGCUUGCUCCUGGAUUCAGCGGCGGACGGGUGAGUAAUGCCUAGGAAUCUGCCUGGUAGUGGGGGAUAACGUCCGGAAACGGGCGCUAAUACCGCAUACGUCCUGAGGGAGAAAGUGGGGGAUCUUCGGACCUCACGCUAUCAGAUGAGCCUAGGUCGGAUUAGCUAGUUGGUGGGGUAAAGGCCUACCAAGGCGACGAUCCGUAACUGGUCUGAGAGGAUGAUCAGUCACACUGGAACUGAAACACGGUCCAGGCUCCUACGGGAGGCAGCAGUGGGGAAUAUUGGACGAUGGGCGAAAGCCUGAUCCAGCCAUGCCGCGUGUGUGAAGAAGGUCUUCGGAUUGUAAAGCACUUUAAGUUGGGAGGAAGGGCAGUAAGUUAAUACCUUGCUGUUUUGACGUUACCAACAGAAUAAGCACCGGCUAACUUCGUG
rnacentral:rRNA from 1 species